GAUGAACGCUGGCGGCGUGCUUAACACAUGCAAGUCGAACGAAGCACUUUAUUUGAUUUCCUUCGGGACUGAUUAUUUUGUGACUGAGUGGCGGACGGGUGAGUAACGCGUGGGUAACCUGCCUUGUACAGGGGGAUAACAGUUGGAAACGGCUGCUAAUACCGCAUAAGCGCACGGCAUCGCAUGAUGCAGUGUGAAAAACUCCGGUGGUAUAAGAUGGACCCGCGUUGGAUUAGCUAGUUGGUGAGGUAACGGCCCACCAAGGCGACGAUCCAUAGCCGACCUGAGAGGGUGACCGGCCACAGUGGGACUGAGACACGGCCCAAACUCCUACGGGAGGCAGCAGUGGGGAAUAUUGCACAAUGGGCGAAAGCCUGACGCAGCGACGCCGCGUGAGCGAAGAAGUAUUUCGGUAUGUAAAGCUCUAUCAGCAGGGAAGAUAAUGACGGUACCUGACUAAGAAGCACCGGCUAAAUACGUG
rnacentral:rRNA from 1 species